UGCGUAGGCGGGUUCUUAAGUCAGUGGUGAAAUCCUGCGGCUCAACCGUAGAACUGCCAUUGAAACUGAGAACCUUGAAUACAAUUGAGGUAGGCGGAAUGAGUAGUGUAGCGGUGAAAUGCUUAGAUAUUACUCAGAACACCAAUUGCGAAGGCAGCUUACUAAAUUGUUAUUGACGCUGAUGCACGAAAGCGUGGGGAGCGAACAGGAUUAGAUACCCUGGUAGUCC
rnacentral:rRNA from 1 species